AGCGAACGCUGGCGGCAGGCCUAACACAUGCAAGUCGAACGAACCUUUCGGGGUUAGUGGCGGACGGGUGAGUCACACGUGGGAACGUGCCUUAAGGUUCGGAAUAACUCAGGUAAACUUGUGCUAAUACCGAAUGUGCUCUUCGGGGGCAAGAUUUAUCGUCUUUAUGGCGGCCCGGGUCCUAUUGGCUAGUUGGUUGAGGUAAUGGCUCACUCAGGCUACCUAGAGUAGCUGGUCUGAGCGGAUGAUCAGCCACAUUGGGAGUGAGACCCGGCGCAAACUCCGACGGAAGGCAGCAGUGGGGAAUCAUGCGCAAUGCGCGAAAGCCGAACGCAGCCAUGCCGUGUGAAUGAUGAAGGUCUUAGGAUUGUAAAAUUCUUUCACCGGCGACGAUAAGGCGGGUACCCGAGGAAGAAGCCCGGGCUAAUUCCGU
rnacentral:rRNA from 1 species